UACGAAGGGGCUAGCGUUGUUCGGAAUUACUGGGCGUAAAGCGCACGUAGGCGGAUACUUAAGUCAGGGGUGAAAUCCCGGGGCUCAACCCCGGAACUGCCUUUGAUACUGGGUAUCUCGAGUCCGGAAGAGGUGAGUGGAAUUCCGAGUGUAGAGGUGAAAUUCGUAGAUAUUCGGAGGAACACCAGUGGCGAAGGCGGCUCACUGGUCCGGUACUGACGCUGAGGUGCGAAAGCGUGGGGAGCAACAGG
rnacentral:rRNA from 1 species